AGCGAACGCUAGCGGCGGGCCUAACACAUGCAAGUCGAGCGCAUACCUUCGGGUAUGAGCGGCGGACGGGUGAGUAACGCGUAGGUCAUCUACCCUUUGGUGGGGGAUAACCCAGGGAAACUUGGGCUAAUACCGCACGAGGUCCACGGAUCAAAGCCUUCGGGCGCCAGAGGAUGAGCCUGCGUCGCAUUACCUAGUUGGCGGGGUAACGGCCCACCAAGGGGACGAUGCGUAGCUGGUCUGAGAGGAUGAUCAGCCACACUGGGACUGAGACACGGCCCAGACUCCUACGGGAGGCAGCAGUGGGGAAUAUUGCGCAAUGGGGGAAACCCUGACGCAGCCACGCCGCGUGGGUGAUGAAGGCCUUCGGGUUGUAAAGCCCUGUCGGGAGGGACGGAAUUCUUGACGGUACCUCCAAAGAAAGCACCGGCUAACUCCGUGCCAGCAGCCGCGGUAAU
rnacentral:rRNA from 1 species